UGGCAAUGAGAUACAUUCUCAGAAGUAAUUGGAUUCUAAUUGCCUUCUCAUCUACAAGCCUGAAUACAUUUAAGAUGAUGGUCGUCUGUUCAAGAAGGUGUGAUCCUUUCCAUAACGAACCAUUAACAAGACCAUUGAAACUUCAUACAAAAAGAAGGUGGGGCGGGAUGGGUGUGGCUACAUUCAAGUUUAAGAUGGGCAAAGCUGUAGAAGAAAUCCCACUGCUGCUGGGACACAACACAGAAGAUGCUGCAAUGGAUCAUCUUGACCAUGAGGAAAGUCUUACCUGAGGUA
rnacentral:misc_RNA from 1 species